rnacentral:rRNA from 1 species
CCCUUAGAUGUCCUGGGCUGCACGCGCGCUACACUGAUGUGUCCAGUAAGCACCUAACCUCUUCCGAAAGGAACCGGUAACCUUUGCAAAGCACAUCGUGAUGGGGAUAGAUUAUUGCAAUUAUUAGUCUUGAACGAGGAAUUCCUAGUAAGCACAAGUCAUCAGCUUGUGUUGAUUACGUCCCUGCCCUUUGUACACACCGCCCGUCGCUCCUACCGAUUGAAUGUUCCGGUGAGCUCUUCGGACUGCGCGGUCUGCAGUUUCUGCGUUCCGUGCGGAAAGUUGCGCAAACCUUAACAUUUAGAGGAAGGAGAAGUCGUAACA